rnacentral:rRNA from 1 species
GAUGAACGCUAGCGGGAGGCCUAAUACAUGCAAGUCGAGCGGUAGAGUGACUUCGGUUGCUUGAGAGCGGCGAACGGGUGAGUAACGCGUACACAAUCUACCUUUAAGAGGGGAAUAGCCCUGGGAAACUGGGAUUAAUGCCCCAUGGCAUCACGAGACGGCAUCGUUUUGUGAUUAAAGCUGAGGUGCUUAGAGAUGAGUGUGCGUCUGAUUAGCUAGUUGGUGCGGUAACGGCGCACCAAGGCGACGAUCAGUAGGGGGCGUGAGAGCGUGGACCCCCANACGGGUACUGAGACACGGACCCGACUCCUACGGGAGGCAGCAGUAAGGAAUAUUGGUCAAUGGAGGAAACUCUGAACCAGCCAUCCCGCGUGCAGGAAGAAUGCCCUAUGGGUUGUAAACUGCUUUUGUUAGGGAAGAAACCCCUCGAUUUAUCGGGGGCUGACGGUACCUUUCGAAUAAGCACCGGCUAACUCCGUGCCAGCAGCCGCGGUAAAGUCUAG